GCUCAGGACGAACGCUGGCGGCGUGCCUAAUACAUGCAAGUCGAGCGGACAGAUGGGAGCUUGCUCCCUGAUGUUAGCGGCGGACGGGUGAGUAACACGUGGGUAACCUGCCUGUAAGACUGGGAUAACUCCGGGAAACCGGGGCUAAUACCGGAUGGUUGUCUGAACCGCAUGGUUCAGACAUAAAAGGUGGCUUCGGCUACCACUUACAGAUGGACCCGCGGCGCAUUAGCUAGUUGGUGAGGUAACGGCUCACCAAGGCGACGAUGCGUAGCCGACCUGAGAGGGUGAUCGGCCACACUGGGACUGAGACACGGCCCAGACUCCUACGGGAGGCAGCAGUAGGGAAUCUUCCGCAAUGGACGAAAGUCUGACGGAGCAACGCCGCGUGAGUGAUGAAGGUUUUCGGAUCGUAAAGCUCUGUUGUUAGGGAAGAACAAGUGCCGUCAAAUAGGGCGGCACCUUGACGGUACCUAACCAGAAAGCCACGGCUAACUACGUGCCA
rnacentral:rRNA from 2 species